CGCAUCUGUGCAUGCAGCAUAUCAAUAAGCGGAGGAAAAGAAACUAACAAGGAUUCCCCUAGUAACGGCGAGUGAAGCGGGAAGAGCUCAAAUUUGAAAUCUUAAAGGGUUUCCCUUUACGAAUUGUAGUUUAAAGAAGUGUUUUCUGUUGAGGUUUUGGUAAAAGUUCUUUGGAAUAGGACAUCAUAGAGGGUGAGAAUCCCGUAUUUGACCUUUACUUUCAACUUUGUGAUACACUUUCAAAGAGUCGGAUUGUUUGGGAAUGCAGUCCAAAAUGGGUGGUAAAUUUCAUCUAAAGCUAAAUAUUGGCGAGAGACCGAUAGCGAACAAGUACCGUGAGGGAAAGAUGAAAAGAACUUUGAAAAGAGAGUUAAACAGUACGUGAAAUUGUCAAAAGGGAAGCGUUUGACACCAGUGUUGUUUUUCUGAAAAUCAAUUAAAGAACUGUUUAUGCUAAGCUGUUUAGACUUUAUCAGCUAUCUGUUUAGUUUUGAGCUUUUCUUUAAUGCACUUUUCAGUUAACAAGUCAACAUCAAUUUCUUUUGCUGUAAAAAAGCUUGAGGAAGGUGGCUUGAGAUUCGUCUUAAGUGUUUAUAGCCUCUUGCCUAUGCAGUCGGAGAGAUUGAGGUCUGCAGCGUAGAUCCUUCGGGGCUAAAUGCAUUUGUGCUAAGUUAUAACAUUUUAUAGACAACUUGUUGACUAUGAUUUGUCUUGUAGCUUACUCGCUUAUGUUAUUUUACCUACGCUUAGGAUGUUGAGUCAUCACACAUCUCU
rnacentral:rRNA from 1 species